UGCUGUGAUGAUGUAAUUUGCGACGUAUCCAGCGCUCGGCGACAGUAGCCUGCUGUCAGCAUGCCGGCACUGCUGAGCUGAAGACUGUUUGACUCUGAGCA
ensembl:snoRNA SNORD16 Small nucleolar RNA SNORD16